GAUGAACGCUGGCGGCGUGCCUAAUACAUGCAAGUCGAGCGAACGGACGAGAAGCUUGCUUCUCUGAUGUUAGCGGCGGACGGGUGAGUAACACGUGGAUAACCUACCUAUAAGACUGGGAUAACUUCGGGAAACCGGAGCUAAUACCGGAUAAUAUUUUGAACCGCAUGGUUCAAAAGUAAAAGACGGUCUUGCUGUCACUUAUAGAUGGAUCCGCGCUGCAUUAGCUAGUUGGUAAGGUAACGGCUUACCAAGGCAACGAUGCAUAGCCGACCUGAGAGGGUGAUCGGCCACACUGGAACUGAGACACGGUCCAGACUCCUACGGGAGGCAGCAGUAGGGAAUCUUCCGCAAUGGGCGAAAGCCUGACGGAGCAACGCCGCGUGAGUGAUGAAGGUCUUCGGAUCGUAAAACUCUGUUAUUAGGGAAGAACAUAUGUGUAAGUAACUGUGCACAUCUUGACGUUACCUAAUCAGAAAGCCACGGCUAACUACGUG
rnacentral:rRNA from 1 species